GUAUGAGUGAAGAUUCCGGUGAUUAAUGUUAGACCUGAUGAGUAGGUAAAAUCCGUAUAAGCUCCAGCAAAGAUUCCGGUGAACGGGCAGGAGAAGAUUCCGGUUAACGGUUAAAAUUUUAUUGAUAUGGUAAAAGGCAUUGGCACAACUCUAACACCGGCAAGUUUACAGAUAGAAAGUGACUAAGUGGAUAAAUCCAAAUUGUAGACUGUUUGCAAGAUGGGUAACUUAAAGAAUCUUAUUAAUUCAAAGUAAUCACACUUAUAUAUACUUCAAUUCUUUUUUAUUAGAAUUUGGUUUUAGACAUGGUCAGCAGGCCACUUUGUUCUUGAUAUUGCAUUAUAUAUAUUUGGCAUUCUAACUAACCAUUCUAUUUUGGAUGCAUAAACAUGAGCUAUGAUGUAUAUGGCUAAAAAGAGAAGAGACGGUCCACAAGGUUACAAUGGUGUAAGGACCAAAAACAAUGGAGCCCGUGAU
rnacentral:lncRNA from 1 species